rnacentral:rRNA from 1 species
UACGGAGGGUGCAAGCGUUGUCCGGAUUUAUUGGGUUUAAAGGGUGCGUAGGCGGCCCGUUAAGUCAGCGGUGAAAUCCCGGGGCUCAACCCCGGAACUGCCGUUGAUACUGGCGAGCUUGAGUCCAGACGAGGUUGGCGGAAUGGAUGCUGUAGCGGUGAAAUGCAUAGAUAGCAUCCAGAACCCCGAUUGCGUAGGCAGCUGACUAGGCUGGUACUGACACUGAGGCACGAAAGCGUGGGGAGCGAACAGG